UAUAUUUUAGUUUAAAAAGAAUAAAAAUUUUUGAUAUUUUAGGUAUAAUUUAAAUAUAA
rnacentral:tRNA from 1 species